UUUUCAGUUUUCCUCGGUAGUUAACUGCCGAAGUUUUCCUCGGCAAUUAACUGCCGAGGGGUAU
rnacentral:pre_miRNA from 1 species